CAGCAGCCACGGUAAUACGAAGGGGGCUAGCGUUGUUCGGAAUCACUGGGCGUAAAGGGUGCGCAGGCUGGUUCUUAAGUCAGGGGUGAAAUCCCGAGGCUCAACCUCGGAACGGCCUUUGAUACUGGGGAUCUUGAGUCCGGAAGAGGUGAGUGGAACUGCGAGUGUAGAGGUGAAAUUCGUAGAUAUUCGCAAGAACACCGGUGGCGAAGGCGGCUCACUGGACCAUUUCUGACGCUGAUGCACGAAAGCUAGGGGAGCAAACAGGAUUAGAUACCCGCGUAGUCCCUGUCUCUUAUAA
rnacentral:rRNA from 1 species